UACGUAGGCGGUUUCAUAAGUCAGAUGUAAAAGCGUGGGGCUCAACCCCAUAAAGCAUUUGAAACUGUGGAACUUGAGUAGUGGAGAGGGAAGUGGAAUUCCUAGUGUAGCGGUGAAAUGCGUAGAUAUUAGGAGGAAUACCAGUGGCGAAGGCGACUUUCUGGACACAAACUGUCGCUGAGGUACGAAAGCAUGGGGAGCAAACA
rnacentral:rRNA from 1 species